rnacentral:rRNA from 1 species
ACAGGUGCUGCAUGGCUGUCGUCAGCUCGUGUCGUGAGAUGUUGGGUUAAGUCCCGCAACGAGCGCAACCCUUGCCUUUAGUUGCCAGCAGUUCGGCUGGGCACUCUAAAGGGACUGCCGGUGUUAAACCGGAGGAAGGUGGGGAUGACGUCAAGUCCUCAUGGCCUUUAUGACCAGGGCUACACACGUACUACAAUGGCCGAUACAAAGGGCAGCGACACUGCGAGGUGAAGCCAAUCCCGUAAAAUCGGUCUCAGUCCGGAUUGGAGUCUGCAACUCGACUCCAUGAAGUUGGAAUCGCUAGCAAUCGUGGAUCAGCAUGCCACGGUGAAUACGUUCCCGGGCCUU